rnacentral:lncRNA from 1 species
CUCCAAGCUUAAGCGCGUCAAUUGGACACGUGACGGAUGUUGAGGGUGGAGGCGGGCAUGCCUUUCCCGGUGGAUUAGUGGUUACCGGAGGAAGUACCGGUGGCAGAAUUCCCGGAGGAAGGAUAGGCGGGAGAAUCCCAGGUGGCAGAGUCACCGGAGGUAGGGUAACAGGGGGUUUCACUAUGGGCGGUAGGGUAACAGGGGGUUUCACUAUGGGCGGUAGGGU